AAAUCCAGCCCUACAAAGGAUAAUAGAUGGAAAACACCAGCACAAGGAGUGAAACUACACCCUAGAAGAAGCAAGAAAGUAGUCUUUCAACAAAUCCACACAAACAUAAUUCCACCUCUAACAAGAAAAUUAACAGGAAGUAACAAUCACUUUUCCUUACUAUCUCAAUAUGAAAAUUAAUAUUACCAACAUAUCCUAAUCAAUUGAAAUUCAAAAAUAUGAGGAAUUAGAAAUUUGUCGGCUGUCAUCCCGUGGUCUCUCUAAUUUGGUAAUUGGAGAAAUAGGUCCAAUAUUGUACAAUCCAUAUACACUUUAUGCUUGUUUGUACAUGACAGGGUCUUACUGUGUGCCACAUAAUGGUCUUUAAAUCAUGCUUCUCCUAUCUCAGCCUCUCUUAUCAGUAGGACUGUUUAUUUGAUGUUUUUACACUAUACUAUGGUUUUCAGAACAGCUUACAUAUUUCAAAAUUAUUUAUACAGCCAAAAGAAAUGUAGGCAAUUAAUUUGGGAGGUAGCUUGUAAGAGAACAGCAAAGAGUGAAACUGAAGGCUUUGCUUGAUAUUUAUAAUUACUGUAUCAAUUUUGAAGAAGAGAACUUUAUAAGUUAAUGAUUUUCAAAAUCAUCACAGCCAAUGAAACAGAACUUUACCCUCACCUAAUGUCUGUACCCAAGCAGAACCGUUGUUCAUUGAAACAGUUGAUGAAUGACUUCAUGGAUAGACAAUCUUUUUUUUUUUUAUGGACAGACAAUCUUAAUACACACACCAUUUCUUAAAUGAAUGUAACUUGUUCUCUGCGGGCUGAGAAUGACAAUAAUCACUCAAGUCAAAUAGCCUUGACCAUAGCAGGAAAUCUAUAUCCAAAAAUCAUGCCUACAAUUCAUUCCUUGGCACAGCAGAACUGUCAACUCUUAGCUUAUCUACUAUGGAGGUAAAAUCCUUUGGUGAUAUGAGGGACAUUCAAGUGCAGCCUUAUUACAAUGAACUCCAAUGCCCAAAAACUGUUCUUAUUUUGUGUUUGUACUACAGUAAGAGCCAAUAUUUUAAGCUCUACUAAAAACAAAACAAACAAACAAAAAGACUUUAUCUAUGUUCAUUAAAAAAACUAAUAGUGAUAUAUUAUUUUAAAAUAUCAUAUAGUUAAUGUAGUUGGAGUUAUUUGAAAUUUAUAUUGAGAAAAACAUGUAUUUUCAGUAUUGCUGUAGACAAACAUCUACAUAAAACUGUUCAAUUGACUGUUAUUUUAUAUCAAACAACUUUUAUAAGACUCAUUUUUAUUUUUACAAUAUUUUAUAAAUUUUAAAGAAUAUGAUAAAAUACUAAAGGCAUUGCAGGUUUUGAAGUGGGGGCUCUCUGGGAGGAGUUGGAGUACAAAAGGGAAAGAAGAAUGUGAUGUAAGUCUAUUUACUCAAAAUAUGGUUUUUUUUAAGAUUUAUUUAUUAUAUGUAAGUACACUAUAGCUGUCUUCAGACACUCCAGAAGAGGGCAUCAGAUUUCAUUAUAAAUGGUUGUGAGCCACCAUGUGGUUGCUGGGAUUUGAACUCGAGACCUUUGGAAGAGCAGUCGGUGCUCUUAACCACUGAGCCAUCUCACCAGCCCUCAAAAUAUGUUUUUAAAUGUUAUCAAAUUCAGAUAAAUUGAAAUUAUGUAUCUUUUCUCAUCAUAAUGCAAUAAAACUUAAAUCG
rnacentral:lncRNA from 1 species